rnacentral:rRNA from 1 species
GACGAACGCUGGCGGCGUGCUUAACACAUGCAAGUCGAACGGAAGGGCCUCUUUCGGGGUGUACUCGAGUGGCGAACGGGUGAGUAACACGUGAGUAACCUGCCCUUGUCUUUGGCAUAACUUCCUUAAACUAGGGCUAAUACCUGCUAGGAGCUCCUUCUGCCUGGUGGGUGUUGGAGAGUUUCGGCGUUUGGGGGUCGCCUCGCGGGUUAUCCGCUUAUUGUUGGGGAGUUGGCUUACCAAGGCCUUGCCGGGUAGCCGGCCUGAGACGGUGAGCCGCCACAUUGAGACUGAGGGAAGGCCCAGACUCCUACGGGAGGGAGCAGGGGGGAAUAUUGAACGAUGGGUGGAAGCCUGGUGCAGCAACGCCGUGGGCCGGAUGACGGCGUUAGGGUUGAAAAACGCAUUCGUAAAUGACGGAGCAUUGUGUGACGGUAGUGGGUAAAGAAGCACCGGCUAACUACGUG